rnacentral:rRNA from 1 species
GUGAACGCUGGCGGCAGGCCUAACACAUGCCAGUCGAGCGGCAGCGCGGGGGCAACCCUGGCGGCGAGCGGCGGACGGGUGAGGAAUUCGUCGGAAUCUGCCUUUUUGUGGGGGAUAACGUAGGGAAACUUACGCUAAUACCGCAUACGUCCUACGGGAGAAAGUGGGGGACCGCAAGGCCUCACGCAGAAAGAUGAGCCGACGACCGAUUAGCUAGUUGGUGGGGUAAAGGCCCACCAAGGCGACGAUCGGUAGCUGGUCUGAGAGGAUGAUCAGCCACACUGGGACUGAGACACGGCCCAGACUCCUACGGGAGGCAGCAGUGGGGAAUAUUGGACAAUGGGCGCAAGCCUGAUCCAGCCAUGCCGCGUGUGUGAAGAAGGCCUUCGGGUUGUAAAGCACUUUUGUCCGGAAAGAAAUCCCUGGAGCUAAUACCUUCGGGGGAUGACGGUACCGGAAGAAUAAGCACCGGCUAACUUCGUG